AGCUAUUGACCAAAGAGUAUCCAAGGUGAUUUGGAGGGAGAGAGCUAACCAUAUCGUAGACCACGCCUAUGACUACUGGCAGUGGCUUGAGGAACCACAUGGAACAAUGAGACAAAUCUCCCUGGAAACCAUGCUUUACCUCCAGCUGAAAAGCUCAAGUCAUGGUCGCAUGGUUCAUGAGAUCGAGCCC